UACGUAGGGCGCAAGCGUUGUCCGGAAUUAUUGGGCGUAAAGAGCUCGUAGGCGGCUUGUCACGUCGGGUGUGAAAGCCCGGGGCUUAACCCCGGGUCUGCAUUCGAUACGGGCUGGCUAGAGUGUGGUAGGGGAGAUCGGAAUUCCUGGUGUAGCGGUGAAAUGCGUAGAGAUCCGGAGGAACCCCAGAGGCGAAGGCGGCCCCCUGGCUCGUACCUGACGCUCAGCCACGAAAGCAUGGGGAGCGAACGGG
rnacentral:rRNA from 1 species